UACGAAGGGGGCUAGCGUUGCUCGGAAUCAGUACGUGGGCGUAAAGGGUGGCGUAGGCGGGUCUUUAAGUCAAGGGGUGAAAUCCUGGAGCUCAACUCCAGAACUCGCCUUUGAAUACUGAGGUAUCUUUGGAGUUCGGGGAGAAGGUGAGUGGGAAACUGCGAGUGUAGAGGUGAAAUUCGUAGAUAUUCGCAAGAACACCAGUAGGCGAAGGCGGC
rnacentral:rRNA from 1 species